rnacentral:snoRNA from 1 species
GCCAUGCCUGUGAUGGUUUUAAAAGUAGUUUGAAUACUUUAUGUGAAAAAAGAAACCGGUCUGAGGCAUUUA